rnacentral:rRNA from 1 species
UACGUAGGGGGCAAGCGUUGUCCGGAAUCAUUGGGCGUAAAGCGCGCGUCGGCGGCCCGGUAAGUCCGCUGUGAAAGUCAGAGGCUCAACCUUUGAAUGUCAGCGGAUACUGCCAGGCUAGAGUCCGGAAGAGGCGAGUGGAACUCCUGGUGUAGCGGUGGAAUGCGCAGAUAUCAGGAAGAACACCAACGGCGAAGGCAGCUCGCUGGGACGGAACUGACGCUGAGGCGCGAAAGCGUGGGGAGCGAACAGG